rnacentral:rRNA from 1 species
CAGUCGCCGCGGUAAUACGUAGGUGGCGAGCGUUGUCCGGAAUUAUUGGGCGUAAAGGGAGCGCAGGCGGACAUAUAAGUCCAUCUUAAAAGUGCGGGGCUCAACCCCGUGAGGGGAUGGAAACUGUAUGCCUUGAGUGCAGGAGAGGAAAGCGGAAUUCCCAGUGUAGCGGUGAAAUGCGUAGAUAUUGGGAGGAACACCAGUGGCGAAGGCGGCUUUCUGGACUGUAACUGACGCUGAGGCUCGAAAGCCAGGGGAGCGAACGGGAUUAGAUACCCCCGUAGUCCCUGUCUCUUAUACA